GGGGAAGGAUGAGAAGCUUCGACCAAGGUUCGACUCGAGCGCCAGCGAGAGAGCGUUGCCGCAGGCAACGACCCGAAGGGCGAAGCGCGCAGCGCUGAGUAAUCCUUCCCCCACCACCA
rnacentral:sRNA from 2 species